GAUGUCGGCUCAUCACAUCCUGGGGCUGAAGUAGGUCCCAAGGGUAUGGCUGUUCGCCAUUUAAAGUGGUACGCGAGCUGGGUUUAGAACGUCGUGAGACAGUUCGGUCCCUAUCUGCCGUGGGCGUAGGAUGAUUGAUUGGGGCUGCUCCUAGUACGAGAGGACCGGAGUGGACGCAUCACUGGUGUUCCAGUUGUCUCGCCAGAGGCAUUGCUGGGUAGCUAAAUGCGGAAGAGAUAAGUGCUGAAAGCAUCU
rnacentral:rRNA from 1 species